UGUUCCUGUGCCAUUUGGCUUGCUUGCAGCAUCCUGUGCAAAAUGAACACCUGGCUCUGAAUCCGGUUUAUACCUUUAUUUGCACUGGGAUCAACUGCAUAUAGUCUGUAACCAGUAGAGAAAUAUUCUCAUUUGAACAUCCACUUUCAAGAUUCCCUGUAUCUAAAAAGAUAAGGGAAAGCUCCUUUCUCUCCUUGAUAGAUCAACAACACACCAUGAUCUGUGUUUUUCCAAACCUGCUAACAUGUGCAUUCCUGAUUUUACAUUACUGCGUAGGAAGCAGUGCCUUCAGUUGCUUGAGUUUUUAUAACUUGAACUUCUGCCAGAUUUCAAGAUAUUCAUUCUGCCCAUUGAAGUUCCAGGAAACUCCUCACACAGAGCAAAAAUAAAGCUAAAUGAAGCCCUCUAAAAUGGUCUGGUACAUGAUGAUGAUGGUGAUAACGACGAAGACAACCCUCAGCCCCUGCAUUAACAACAGAGCAACUUCAAAACCACCUCCCCCAUCAAGUCAUCUUGACAUUUUCUCAAGAUUUCCAGCAAUUGCAGUAUACUGCUUUUUGAUUUUGAGUCUGUAAGCAGCUUAGUUCACUCUGGAUUGUACGAUCUGGGCAGCUGAUCGGAUUCCCAGCCCGCAUGCCCAAGGGAAGCUUUCCUGUCAGUGGCUAUGUGUCUGGGAGACCCUCUGAUGGGAGCCCUCCUGAUGUGACCCUUGACUUUUUUUCUGCAGCAAACCCUUCAACACCUGCUUCCAAUAUGGCUAUUGUGGGUCCAGGAAAAUUCUGCUCUCUGUUGAGACUCAAGUAGACGUCACCUUUAUUCCCUUCACACAACUUGACAUCCAGUCAUUUUGCCUGUGUUAUGGUUUGAAUUCAGUGAACAUUAUGGGUUUACUAAGUAUUUCUGUCAAUCUUCUUUUAUUGCCAAUUACUUUUGUUUUAAUAUAAUCAGUACGGAAACCACUCCUCCUCAGGAAACACUUCAUGUGCCAUCUUAGAUCCCUGUACUGUCUUGAUGAAUAUAUACCAGCACAUCAACCUGGGUCAUUGCCCCAGGCAUGGAGAAACUUCUAAAUUAGUACAGUGCUCUGCUUACCUUGUGGACAGCUUGUGGAACAAGAAAAUGCUAGAAUUGAUCAACUCUGACUUUAGUACAGAGUCCCACAAGUUGCAGCUUGUCAAAAUUUGUAGGGAAAGAGGGCUUUCUGAGCUGCCAUAUUAUUUUCUUUUCAGAAGUGUGAUUGGCAUGGAAGGGGGGUCAGGGGAAAUGGUGAUAACUGUAAAAGAAGACUUCUCCUAGAAAAUAAUAUACAAGAGGUCAUUAGGAAAAAGCUUACGAAUUUUCUUGUGGGAAAUGAAGUGCCAAUGAAUAAGAAUAACUUUUGUUUUCGAGGUAACCUUUGCCCUAUCAAGUAACAGGACCAAGUGUUGCUCAGUAUACUUGUGUUCAGAAGCCCACUAGAUGUCCAAGCUGCUGUAUUUGUUUUAAAUUCAUUUUCUCAAGAAUGAACUCCUCUUCUCCAUAUCAAUUGAAGGAGUUGAUGUACUGUUAUUUCAUAGGCACCUGUGGUCUACUAAUAUCUUGUUAAAUUUGACUAUUAUUCGUCAGUGAGUCUUGGUCUUGACAGUGGGGAGGUUUUCCAUUAUGGAUGCCAUCAUAAAGUCUGAUGUUGUUGACAUCCAUAGUAUGCACUUUCUAAUGUCGGGAUUGGUUCGGAACAGGAACACUCAUUAUUUUUUCCUUUCCUAACUCAGAAGCACAGCAGUCAAAUGUUGAACCCUUACUGUUGUCCUAGCUGAGCCCAGCAAGUUUAGCAAUAGCUAGGGGUUGAACUUCAAGCAAUAAAAUAUUCUAGUCAAGUUUUAAUAACCAAAAAUAAGCAGAAGAACUCAAAGUACAAACUCACGGCAAUAUUUGCACAGGUCAGUUUCCUUGAAUAUUUUUCUUGUACCCGGACAAAUUCUUUUGAAAACUUAUCCUGUCCGAGAGUGUAAACACGAUAGGAUAAAAGAUUGCUCGAUAUUAGAUGAUCCUUCUCUCACUAGAGGUUCCACUCCUUCUGUUACACCCUAUUUAAUCCAUCAUAGUCUGGAAGCAAGAGACAAUUUUUACAAAUAAAGGAUAGGCCAUUUAAAGGUAGGCCAUUGACAGAUUUUUGGAUACCAAUGACAUCGAGCGAUACGAGGAUAAUGCAAGACAAUGUCAUUGAGGUAGAUUAUCAGCCAUGAUCUAAUUGAAUGACAGAGGAGGAUCAAGGAGUUGAAAGGCCUGCUCCUUCAUCUGUUCCCAGUGAGAAUAAAAUUCUUACUUUUUCCUUGUUUCAGAAUUCCAAAGAGAAAGAAAAUGACUAACUUAAUUAUAUACAGAUAAUCCUUCAGCCUCAAUGUACAGAUCUCCAUUUCCAUCUUUGAAGAUGCUGCUGGGCAAUUAUAGUGGGUUCUGCAAUUAAGAUGGAGAAACUGUAACAUAUGAUUAUUUAUUAUAUGUCCCAUUGUUCCACAGCUAACUCUGAACGGCACACAAAGGCACUUAUAAGAGAGGUAUGGCAAGCCAAACAAUAUACCAAAUAAAACUGCAUUUCUCCAAAUAUCUCCUCUUCAUAAACAAGUACAUGACUAUUGUUUGCAGGCUAACUAGUUCCCCAAUAUGCACAAUAAACAAUGAAAAUAUUCCUUUCUAUCAAAACAUUUUUUUAAAAAAACAAAAAAAGCUAGAUCAGACUGGCCUUAUGGACCAGUGCUCUAAUCUAGCAUGUAUCAGCGAACUGGAAUUUUAAUGAAAAAUUGUUUGCACUUGGAUGGAUAGAAUAAAUAUUGAAGAUCAUUAAGUUAUUUUCAGUACAGAAUGAUCAAGGAUUAAUUUUACUUUUAAAGAACUCAAAUACAUCUAACCUAGAGGUUAAAAGUUUAUAGGGCAGUUCGUGAGAGAUCUGACUGUAGCCAAAAGGAAGUGUAGUUUCUCUGUCCUAGAAAGGAGUUUUUCAGAGCAGUUAAGGGAAUCAAUGAUUAAAAGAUGAGAAAGUUUAAGCUCUCAGUUUUGUGAGUAAUCAUAAUAGAAGAUUUCACAAGAUAGAAGGGAGGAUCAGUUAAGUCAAACUUAAAAUCUUGACACAGAGGGGUAAGGUUUUGCAUUUGAAUCUCUGUAAACUGCUGGUGUUAUUAAGUAGAUUGUAAACUUUGUUUUGCUGUUGUCAUGGUUUGAAAGAGAAAAGUACACUGAUAAUAAGUUUACUGUUCCACAAGCCAUUACAAAAUAUAUAAAAUCCCAAAUAAAUCACCAAAAUAACCAAUUUACCUGACUGACUUUAAUUUAGGGCAAAAGUAAUUUAUACCAAGUUUUAUCAUUAACACUGGAAAUACACUUCUUUAAUAAAUGGCUGAGAAAUGAGAAUUUCUGAUCUACUACUAUACAACUUAGACUAUAGCCCUGUUAAAUCCCAACCCCACUCCAGACACACACACACUCAUUCAUGAAUAAAAUAGUAAAAAGGACAGAGAUUCAACACCGAGCGGAAAAAAGUAGGGAACUGAUAUGCAACAGGAACAAAAUUCUGAUGAUCCAAAGUCGUGAUCAUAAGGGUGCGUUUAAAUGAUCUUUUACAGUUUGUUUCUUUGGGACUUGUAGCAAUGUUGACAUGCCUUUUUUUUGUAAACAAUGGUCAUUCUUCACUUCAGUAGUUGAUCAAAUGGACCUUGGUCUGUUGUUGUUAGGAUUCAUUCUUUUUAAAGUUUUCUGUUCUUUUUCUGCCCUUCCACUCACAUCAAAUGAAGGGAGAGAGAUAUUGUCAGUUUGUUGCCUCUGGAGGUCUCUGGCUACUUUGCACUUACAGAUCAGGAUGAAUUAGCCAAUUCAAGUACUGGUGUAAGGUAGCUUUUCUGGAACCCAAAAGCCUUUGGUGCUACACUGACUCAAUAAUAUGUCAAUCUCACUGUUCCAACAAAAACGCUGUCUUGCACAAAAAUAUGAAAGUCUUGAUAAUGUGCACCACUUUAUUUUUCCCAAGUUGUGAAAAUGUACUGCUGUUAUUUCAACUACAUAGCUGUCCAACUUCCUUUCCCUUUCAUAGUCCAGAAGGGAAUGAUAUGUUGUCCCUUACACUGUUUGUUUUUAGAUUUCUCUAAAC